rnacentral:rRNA from 1 species
CUGGCGGCGUGCUUAACACAUGCAAGUCGAACGAGAAGAGAUGAGAAGCUUGCUUCUUAUUGAUUCGAGUGGCAAACGGGUGAGUAACGCGUAAGCAACCUGCCCUUCAGAUGGGGACAACAGCUGGAAACGGUUGCUAAUACCGAAUACGUUCUUUUUGUCGCAUGGCAGAGGGAAGAAAGGGAGGCUCUUCGGAGCUUUCGCUGAAGGAGGGGCUUGCGUCUGAUUAGCUAGUUGGAGGGGUAACGGCCCACCAAGGCGACGAUCAGUAGCCGGUCUGAGAGGAUGAACGGCCACAUUGGGACUGAGACACGGCCCAGACUCCUACGGGAGGCAGCAGUGGGGAAUCUUCCGCAAUGGACGAAAGUCUGACGGAGCAACGCCGCGUGAACGAUGACGGCCCUCGGGUUGUAAAGUUCUGUUAUACGGGACGAAUGGCGUAGCGGUCAAUACCCGUUACGAGUGACGGUACCGUAAGAGAAAGCCACGGCUAACUACGUG